AGGGAGACACCGAACGCUGAACCGCCCAAGUUCGCUCUGCCCGUGAGCGGGGCGCGGCCGGGAAGGGCGGGCGGCCUGGCUCCGGGCUCCGCACGCUCAGCCGCGUUACUCUGACCGACGGGCACACAAAUUUGUUGAUCACCGUUCUGUCAGACAUUCUUCUGGAGGCUGGGAAUCGUCACACAGAUGAACAAAGUCCCUGUUGGCCUGCAGCUCACAUGAGCGAGAACAGGGAGCACGGGGAUUCCAGAGGACGGUCUGUGGAGCACAGCCAGAGGAGGGCCCGCUGACCGGCUGAGAAGAGGCUGCCCCGCUCUCUCUCCUUCUGGGCUCUCUCCACCCUGCACACCCAUCCUCCUUCCCGACCCUCUUCAUCCCCCCUGCCGCUGAACAGGGAGGCCCCACCCGUCCAGGCUGCUGAUGGAUUUUCCCUCUCUCCUCUUGGCUACGAACACCACGUCCCUCUGGAUGGUUUCACUGCCUCUCAGAAAUGUGUUUUUAAAUACAAUCCAUACGUGAAUGUCUCCCAAA